rnacentral:rRNA from 1 species
AGUAACACGUGAGAAACCUGCCCCGGAGAUCGGGAUAGCCCAGGGAAACCUGGAUUAAUACCGAAUACCCUCGAAUGGUCGCAUGUCCGGAUCGAGGAAAUGGUCCGCUGCUCCGGGAUGGUCUCGCGUCCUAUCAGCUAGUUGGUGAGGUAACGGCUCACCAAGGCAUCGACGGGUAGCUGGUCUGAGAGGACGAUCAGCCACACUGGGACUGAGACACGGCCCAG